rnacentral:rRNA from 1 species
AGCAGCCGCGGUAAUUCCAGCUCCAAUAGCGUAUAUUAAAGUUGUUGCAGUUAAAAAGCUCGUAGUUGAAUUUCGGGAUCAGUACGCUGGUCAUGCCUUUGGUAUGCACUGGUGUCACUGGUUUCUCCCUUCUGAAGAACCGUGAUGUCAUUAAUUUGGUGUCGCGGGGAAUCAGGACUGUUACUUUGAAAAAUUAGAGUGUUUAAAGCAGGCUCACGCUUGAAUACAUUAGCAUGGAAUAAUGAAAUAGGACGUUUGACCCUAUUUUGUUGGUUUCUAGGAUCGACGUAAUGAUUAAUAGGGAUAGUUGGGGGCAUUAGUAUUCAAUUGUCAGAGGUGAAAUUCUUGGAUUUAUUGAAGACUAACUACUGCGAAAGCAUUUGCCAAGGAUGUUUUCAUUAAUCAAGAACGAAAGUUAGGGGAUCGAAGACGAUCAGAUACCGUCGUAGUCUUAACCAUAAACUAUGCCGACUAGGGAUCGGAUGAUGUUAAUUUUUAAUGACUCAU